rnacentral:rRNA from 1 species
UACAGAGACUGCGAGCGUUAUUCGGAUUCACUGGGCGUAAAGGGUGCGCAGGCGGCCAAAUGAGUGAGGCGUGAAAGCCUAGGGCUUAACCCUGGAAUUGCACCUCAAACUAUUUGGCUAGAGCAUUGGAGAGGGAAGCGGAAUUCACGGUGUAGCAGUGAAAUGCGUAGAUAUCGUGAGGAACACCAGAGGCGAAGGCGGCUUCCUGGACAAUUGCUGACGCUCAGGCACGAAAGCGUGGGGAGCAAAAGGG